rnacentral:rRNA from 1 species
CAGCCGCCGCGGGAAUACGUAGGUGGCAAGCGCUGUCCGGAAUUAUUGGGCGUAAAGGGCUCGCAGGCGGUUUCUUAAGUCUGAUGUGAAAGCCCCCGGCUCAACCGGGGAGGGUCAUUGGAAACUGGGAAACUUGAGUGCAGAAGAGGAGAGUGGAAUUCCACGUGUAGCGGUGAAAUGCGUAGAGAUGUGGAGGAACACCAGUGGCGAAGGCGACUCUCUGGUCUGUAACUGACGCUGAGGAGCGAAAGCGUGGGGAGCGAACAGGAUUAGAUACCCGCGUAGUCCCUGUCUCUUAUAC